rnacentral:rRNA from 1 species
AUUGAACGCUGGCGGCAUGCUUUACACAUGCAAGUCGAACGGUAACAGGCCUUCGGGUGCUGACGAGUGGCGAACGGGUGAGUAAUGCAUCGGAACGUACCCAGAGGUGGGGGAUAACGCAGCGAAAGCUGUGCUAAUACCGCAUGUGAUCUGAGGAUGAAAGCGGGGGACCGAGCAGCAAUGUUUGGCCUCGCGCCUUUGGAGCGGCCGAUGUCGGAUUAGCUAGUUGGUGGGGUAAAGGCCUACCAAGGCGACGAUCCGUAGCUGGUCUGAGAGGACGACCAGCCACACUGGGACUGAGACACGGCCCAGACUCCUACGGGAGGCAGCAGUGGGGAAUUUUGGACAAUGGGCGCAAGCCUGACCCAGCAAUGCCGCGUGCGGGAAGAAGGCCUUCGGGUUGUAAACCGCUUUUGGCAGGAACGAAACGGUGUCCGCUAAUACCGGGCGCUAAUGACGGUACCUGCAGAAUAAGCACCGGCUAACUACGUG